rfam:Ailuropoda melanoleuca scaffold160_3, whole genome shotgun sequence.
ACCUGGCUGGCUCAGUCUAUAGAGCAUGUGACUCUUGAUCUUGGGAUUAUGAGUUCGAGCCCCAUGUUGGGUG